GUUUCAGCAGCCGCGGUAAUACGUAGGGUGCGAGCGUUAAUCGGAAUUACUGGGCGUAAAGCGUGCGCAGGCGGUUCGUUAAGUUCGUUGUGAAAGCCCCGGGCUCAACCUGGGAACGGCAAUGGAAACUGGCGGGCUCGAGUGCGGCAGAGGGGGGUGGAAUUCCACGUGUAGCAGUGAAAUGCGUAGAGAUGUGGAGGAACACCGAUGGCGAAGGCAACCCCCUGGGCUGACACUGACGCUCAGGCACGAAAGCGUGGGGAGCAAACAGGAUUAGAUACCCUCGUAGUCC
rnacentral:rRNA from 1 species